rnacentral:rRNA from 1 species
AGUUAGUGGCGGACGGGUGAGUAACGCGUGGGUAACCUGCCUUGUACUGGGGGACAACAGUUGGAAACGACUGCUAAUACCGCAUAAGCCCACGGAUCCGCAUGGAUCUGCGGGAAAAGGAUUUAUUUGCUUCAGGAUGGACUCGCGUCCAAUUAGCUAGUUGGUGAGGUAACGGCCCACCAAGGCGACGAUUGGUAGCCGGACUGAGAGGUUGAACGGCCACAUUGGGACUGAGACACGGCCCAGACUCCUACGGGAGGCAGCAUG